CCGGAAAAAGUACUGUAGCUACCGGAAAAAAUUCAAAGUUGUCGGAAUUGAAAAAUAAUAAUAUGGGUAGGCUCAGAAUUUGAGGGCGAUCUAACUGCCCUGAAAGACCUUCGUCAGAAUCUCACCGGAACAGCGCUCACGCGCUGGGGCGCGUGAGUCGCAUCUGCCUGGGUAAAUCUGGCGCGUGAUGGCGUGUGAAGGGAAAUUUUCCGGUGGGGUUUGGUCGGAUCUCUUGGGAACCUUGUGCUGGUGUUAGUUUUUGCACAACACUGAUAAUUAGUGACUUUGACGCAAUUAGUCACUUAGGUCGCCGGAAAAUUUCACGGUGACUGAGUUAUUUCUUCUCGGAUGUCGUUGGAAUGACGCACAACGAUAAUUAUCUCACCA
rnacentral:lncRNA from 1 species